rnacentral:rRNA from 1 species
GACGAACGCUGGCGGCGUGCCUAAUACAUGCAAGUAGAACGCUGAAGGAGGAGCUUGCUCUUCUGGAUGAGCUGCGAACGGGUGAGUAACGCGUAGGUAACCUGCCUGGUAGCGGGGGAUAACUAUUGGAAACGAUAGCUAAUACCGCAUAACAGUAGAUGUUGCAUGACAUUUACUUAAAAGGUGCAAUUGCAUCACUACCAGAUGGACCUGCGUUGUAUUAGCUAGUUGGUGGGGUAACGGCUCACCAAGGCGACGAUACAUAGCCGACCUGAGAGGGUGAUCGGCCACACUGGGACUGAGACACGGCCCAGACUCCUACGGGAGGCAGCAGUAGGGAAUCUUCGGCAAUGGACGGAAGUCUGACCGAGCAACGCCGCGUGAGUGAAGAAGGUUUUCGGAUCGUAAAGCUCUGUUGUAAGAGAAGAACGAGUGUGAGAGUGGAAAGUUCACACUGUGACGGUAUCUUACCAGAAAGGGACGGCUAACUACGUG